CCCUUAGACGUUCUGGGCCGCACGCGCGCUACACUGACGGAGCCAGCGAGUAUAAACCUUGGCCGAGCGGUCUGGGAAAUCUUGUGAAACUCCGUCGUGCUGGGGAUAGAGCAUUGUAAUUAUUGCUCUUCAACGAGGAAUUCCUAGUAAGCGCAAGUCAUCAGCUUGCGUUGAUUACGUCCCUGCCCUUUGUACACACCGCCCGUCGCUACUACCGAUUGAAUGGCUUAGUGAGGCUUCCGGAUUGGUUUAGAGAAGGGGGCAACUCCAUCUUGGAACCGAGAAGCUAGUCAAACUUGGUCAUUUAGAGGAAGUAAAAGUCGUAACA
rnacentral:rRNA from 1 species